AACGGACGACGCGCGUGAGGAGACCCGCAGAACUUAAGCAUAUCAGUACGCGGAGGAAAAGAAACGAACACGGAUUUCCGGAGUAGCGGCGAGCGAAAGGGAAAGAGCCCGCGGCGAACCUGCGGGGGUGUGCGGCGGAGCGCGCUGCGGAACAGGCGGGGACGGCCGCGCAGAGAGGGUGGAACGCCCGUACGCGGCGCGCGCAGCGGGAAGAGUAGGCGUGCGUGGGAGGGCACGCCGAAGGGUGGAGCGGGCCAUCGAAGGCAGAAUACACGGGUAGGCCGAUAGAGAAGAAGUACCGCGAGGGAAAGGAGAAAAGACGCGCGGGAGCGGAGUGAAAAGGCGCGAAACACGCGGCGCGAAGCGCGCGGGGCGCGGGCACCCGCGCGGCCCGUCUUGAAACACGGACCAAGGAGCGCUGCGCGCGCGCGAGCGGAACGUCGGGAGGACGGAGCGCGGCGGGCGCGGAGAGCCGGGGAGGCACGGAAAGUGCGCGCGCAGCGGCCCGAAACGCGGUGAACUACGCCUGCCGCGAGCGACGGCGGGGGAAGCCCCGGCAGAAGCUCCGAGGGGGCCUGACGUGCAAAUCGGUCCCGGGAGGUGGGCGUAGGGGCGAAAGACCAAUCGAACCGCGUGGUAGCUGGUUCCCCACGAAAUGUCCCGCAGGACAGCCGGCCCGCGGGCGUGGCGCGCGGUAGAGCGGACGAGGGCGGCCUCGAACUGCGAACGCGCGCGCAGCAGCGGGCCGAGUGGGCGCGCGCUGGUAAGCAGCACGCGCGAGGCGGGGUGAACCGCGCGCACGGAUAAGGGGCCGCGGAGGACGAGGAGAGCGGGGAAAGCCGGGCGCGGGUCAGGACAGCAGGCCGGUGGCCAUGGAGGUCGGCACCCGCCAAGAAGUGUGUCGCAACUUUCCUGCCGAACCCGCGCGCGCUGAAAAUGGAGGGCGCUGGAAGUCCCCCCGAGGCCGUGCCAUGCGAAUCCGCGUGUGUAGUGGGGCGGUCCGGGCGCAGAGAAGCGGCGCGGCGACGCGGCGUGGAGCCCCCGGGCGCGCAGAUCUUGGAGGGAGUAGCGGGCUUGGCGCCAAGGGCCGAGGAGGAGAAGGGUUUCCGCGAGGAGAGAGCCGGGCCUAAGGCGCGCAGCGUGCGCGGCGAAGGGGAAGAGAGAGCGCCGCGCGCAGAACGGCAGCGGCGCGGGGGCCUUGACGCGCGCGGCGCACGGGGCGCAGAGAGGCAUCUGUGCCCGCGCGCGCUUGGACGCGUGGAGCAGCGAAGAGGCACAGGCGUGCGGCCGCGCGCGCGUGAAAAGAGGCCCCCGGGGAGCGCGCGCCCGUACCGAAACCGCAGCAGGUCUCCGAGGCGCGCAGCCUCUGGCGCGGGGAAGCGCGGGUAAGGGAACUCGGCAAAAUAGACGCGUAACUUCGGGAGAAGCGUUGGCUCUGGCGGCGCUAGAACCGGAACGCCGGGGGAGUCUGACUGUCUAAUUAAAACAUAGCCUCCCGGAGCCUCGGGGUGCGGAGGGGAGGUGAGUUCUGCCCAGUGCCCAGAGAGUCACCGCGGGGCGAGCCGCCGAAGCGCGGGUAAACGGCGGGAGUAACUAUGACUCUCUUAAGGUAGCCAAACGCCUCGUCAUCUAAUUAGUGACGCGCAUGAAUGGACGAACGAGAUUCCCGCUGUCCCUACCUGCCGCCGGCGAAACCACAGCCAGGGGAACGGGCCUGGGCGCGCAGCGGGGAAAGAAGACCCUGUUGAGCUUGACUCUAGCCGGCGCGGGCCGCGCGCGCCGCGCAUGUAGCCAGGCGGGAGACCUUGUCGCGCGUGAAAGACCGCUGGCGCGGCGCAGCGCGGCCUACUGCCUGAAAGGCGCACACGUGCCGGUGGGGAGUUUGGCUGGGGCGGCACGGCUGCAAGAGCACAUCGCAGCUGUCCAGAGGCGGGCUCACCGGGGCGGGAAACCCCGGGCGGAGCACAAGGGUAAACGCCCGCCGGAGCCGUCGCGCACGUGCGGCGGCGCGGGGAAACCCGGGCCUAGCGAUCCCGCAGCCCCACGUGCGCUGUGCUGCGGGUGCCGGAAAAGUUACCACAGGGAUAACUGGCUUGUGGCGGCCAAGCGUCCACAGCGACGCCGCUUUUUGAUCCUUCGAUGUCGGCUCUUCCUAGCGCUGCGCUGCACAAGGCGCAAAGCGUGGGAUUGUUCACCCACCAACAGGGAACGUGAGCUGGGUUUAGACCGUCGUGAGACAGGUUAGUUUUACCCUACUGCGACGUCCCGCGAGCACGCGCGCGCAGUACGAAAGGAAUCGCGCGCGCGCCCCUCUGGUCUCCCCUGUGCCGCCCGGCGCGGGGGCCUGCUACGGGCGCGGCAUAACGGCUGGAAGCCUCUAAGCCGGAAGGCCGGCUCUGCGGACCGCGGGGGCGCGCAGACCACGCGCAUGCCCGCCAGCUGUGCGCGCGCAAGCGCUGCGAGCCGCUGAGGCCUGGCGCGGCGGUCCCCUCUGC
rfam:Nematocida sp. 1 ERTm2 unplaced genomic scaffold supercont1.16, whole genome shotgun sequence.